GCUAAACUGAAUCCGAACUGAAUCUGAACAGGGAGCAUUAUAAAUACUUGAUGGGACGCUCUGCUUUGGGCUUCAUGCAGUGGGGUGACUCUUGUAACUGGGCACGUCCACUGGGAGGACCCUGAAAGCCAUGCCUACAGAGUUGUUACAAGACGCACUGGCUCUUGUGAAGCGUAAGACUAUUGUGCCAGGCUGGCUCUACCUCGGUCUUUUUCAGGAUCUCAUGUCCCCGCAUCUCAGCAAUCACUAGACGGCUGCAGAGACUGCUCUACGGGCUGAAGCAAAAUGUCUUGACGCUGUCUUGCUGGGCAGUACAGAAGAGCAAUGGAUGGACAGACUUUUUCACCAGAACAGCUGGGUUCAAACCUUGGCUCUACCACAUAUACCACCUCUGUGACUUUCGGAUGUAUAAAGUGACGGGACCAGAGACCAGCAAAUGACUCCGAGAACAUGUAAUAUAAAACCAAAACCAAAACCAAAACACAACCAUUUGGGGCCACACUUGGACUGCUUCUCUUGCACUAAUGGCUGGAAGGAGGUAUAAACGGCACUCCUCACACGUUCAAGUGAGCUCACCAGCUGAGAUUUGCUAUUUCUGAUCAAAGAGACUGCCAUUUUCCAAUACAGAUUAUGAACGGAGAAAAAUAAGCAAGUGAAGAUCUUUAAAUAAAGGAUUAAGUAAAACCAUA